rnacentral:rRNA from 1 species
GGGAAGAACAGCUAGAAUAGGAAAUGAUUUUAGUUUGACGGUACCAUACCAGAAAGGGACGGCUAAAUACGUGCCAGCAGCCGCGGUAAUACGUAUGUCCCGAGCGUUAUCCGGAUUUAUUGGGCGUAAAGCGAGCGCAGACGGUUUAUUAAGUCUGAUGUGAAAGCCCGGAGCUCAACUCCGGAAUGGCAUUGGAAACUGGUUAACUUGAGUGCAGUAGAGGUAAGUGGAACUCCAUGUGUAGCGGUGGAAUGCGUAGAUAUAUGGAAGAACACCAGUGGCGAAGGCGGCUUACUGGACUGCAACUGACGUUGAGGCUCGAAAGUGUGGGUAGCAAACAGGAUUAGAUACCCUGGUAGUCCACACCGUAAACGAUGAACACUAGGUGUUAGGAGGUUUCCGCCUCUUAGUGCCGAAGCUAACGCAUUAAGUGUUCCGCCUGGGGAGUACGACCGCAAGGUUGAAACUCAAAGGAAUUGACGGGGACCCGCACAAGCGGUGGAGCAUGUGGUUUAAUUCGAAGCAACGCGAAGAACCUUACCAGGUCUUGACAUCCUUUGAAGCUUUUAGAGAUAGAAGUGUUCUCUUCGGAGACAAAGUGACAGGUGGUGCAUGGUCGUCGUCAGCUCGUGUCGUGAGAUGUUGGGUUAAGUCCCGCAACGAGCGCAACCCUUAUUGUUAGUUGCCAGCAUUCAGAUGGGCACUCUAGCGAGACUGCCGGUGACAAACCGGAGGAAGGCGGGGACGACGUCAGAUCAUCAUGCCCCUUAUGACCUGGGCUACACACGUGCUACAAUGGCGUAUACAACGAGUUGCCAACCCGCGAGGGUGAGCUAAUCUCUUAAAGUACGUCUCAGUUCGGAUUGUAGUCUGCAACUCGACUACAUGAAGUCGGAAUCGCUAGUAAUCGCGGAUCAGCACGCCGCGGUGAAUACGUUCCCGGGUCUUGUACACACCGCCCGUCACACCAUGGGAGUUUGUAAUGCCCAAAGCCGGUGGCCUAAC